rnacentral:rRNA from 1 species
UACGUAGGGUGCAAGCGUUGUCCGGAAUUAUUGGGCGUAAAGAGCUCGUAGGCGGUGUGUCGCGUCGGCCGUGAAAACCUGCAGCUUAACUGUGGGCUUGCGGUCGAUACGGGCAUCACUGGAGUUCGGCAGGGGAGACUGGAAUUCCUGGUGUAGCGGUGAAAUGCGCGGAUAUCAGGAGGAACACCGGUGGCGAAGGCGGGUCUCUGGGCCGAUACUGACGCUGAGGAGCGAAAGCGUGGGGAGCGAACAGG